CUACGGGUGGCUCCAGUGGGGAAUAUUGCACAAUGAGCGAAAGCUUGAUGCAGCCAUACCGCGUGUGUGAAGAAGGCCCGAGGGUUGUAAAGCACUUUCAAUUGUGAGGAAGGUUCAGUAGUUAAUACCUGCUGUUCUUGACGUUAACUUUAGAAGAAGCACCGGCUAAAUCUGUGUCAGCAGCCGCGGUAAUACAGAGGGUGCAAGCGUUAUUCGGAAUUACUGGGCGUAAAGCGCGCGUAGGCGGAUUAUUAAGUCAGUUGUGAAAGCCCUGGGCUCAACCUGGGAACUGCAUCUGAUACUGGUAGUCUAGAGUUUAAGAGAGGGAAGUGGAAUUCCAGGUGUAGCAGUGAAAUGCGUAGAUAUCUGGAGGAACAUCAGUGGCGAAGGCGACUUCCUGGCUUAAAACUGACGCUGAGGUGCGAAAGCGUGGGUAGCGAACGGGAUUAGAUACCCCUGUAGUC
rnacentral:rRNA from 1 species